rnacentral:rRNA from 1 species
UACGUAGGGACCGAGCGUUGUCCGGAAUCAUUGGGCGUAAAGAGCGUGUAGGCGGCCACUUUAAGUCCGCGUGAAAUUUUGCGGCUCAACCGCAAGCGGUCGUGGGAAACUGGGUGGCUAGAGUGCGGGAGAGGAGAGUGGAAUUCCUGGUGUAGCGGUGGAAUGCGCAGAUAUCAGGAAGAACACCCGUGGCGAAGGCGCUCUCUGGAACGCAACUGACGCUGAGGCGCGAAAAGCGUGGGGAGCAAACAGG